ensembl:snoRNA small nucleolar RNA, H/ACA box 25
AGGUCAUUUCAAAGAGGGCUUGUGGGGAUGUGAAACCAAGAGCUCUUAACGCGAUGACCAGAGAAUGAAGUUCUCCACAGUUUGCCAUAGUCACUCAAUAGUGCUGUGUUUUCCUGAGGAGAUACAAUA